AUGCAACUUGCCACCACAGAGCCAGGCCCGCGGCGACUGGCUCCUGGUGGGUAUUAAAGACGAGUCGGGAAAGAAGAGCAGGGUUGCCUGCUGAGGAAGCUUUUCACAGCAUGAGACCUUCCGCAGGCUCAAUCAAACCUUCAAUGGCCCCGAAAGACAUCUUGAUUGAAACCUCAUGAGAGACUCUGAGCCAGAAAACCCAGCAACUUAGAACCCAGAUACCUGACCAUCAGCCACUGUGUGAAAUAAUAAAUGUUUGUUGUUUUAA
rnacentral:lncRNA from 1 species